rnacentral:sRNA from 1 species
GGGCAGUCAUCGCCGAGUCCCCGUACGGCGCGAGCCAGGGGAGCCGGGGACCCAACCGUCCCUGGGGUGAAUCGGACGCCCGUCGCCUCGCGCGGAGGGGGCCCGUAGGAGACCUUCCUGCUCCGAACCCGUCAGCUAACCCGGUAGGCGAGAAGGAAGGAAAG